rnacentral:tRNA from 1 species
GCCGCGGUAGCUCAGUGGUAGAGCAUAUAGCUGAAAACUAUAGGGUCGCCAGUUCGAUUCUGGCCCGCGGCA